rnacentral:rRNA from 1 species
CUACGGGUCGCUGCAGUGGGGAAUUUUGCGCAAUGGGCGAAAGCCUGACGCAGCAACGCCGCGUGAGGGAUGAAGGCCUUCGGGUUGUAAACCUCUUUCGGGUGGGAAGAAAAAAAUGACGGUACCACCAGAAGAAGCCCCGGCUAACUCCGUGCCAGCAGCCGCGGUAAUACGGAGGGGGCAAGCGUUGUUCGGAAUUAUUGGGCGUACAGCGUAUGUAGGCGGUCUGGCAAGUCAGACGUGUAAGCCCACGGCUCAACCGUGGAAUUGCGUUUGAAACUAUCAGGCUUGAGUUCGGAAGAGGAAAGCGGAAUUCCCAGUGUAGCGGUGAAAUGCAUUGAUAUUGGGAGGAACAUCGGUGGCGAAGGCGGCUUUCUGGUCCGAUACUGACGCUGAGAUACGAAAGCCAGGGGAGCAAACGGGAUUAGAUACCCGAGUAGUC